ACAAAGGUUUAUUCUAAAAGAAAAGAGAAUAAAAGCUAAUCAAUUCUAAUCCCUAUAAAUAUGGUAUAUAAUCUCCUAUAAAUCUACUAUACAAAUAUUACAUUCUUUAAAUGUUAGUUAAAAGAAAACACGCAAGGCCAAAUCUAAAAAAAUUUAGGAGCUGGAAUUGAAUUAUAAAAUUUUAAAAGGUUAAAAAUAUAAUAUUAUCAAAUAUCAAUUUAUGGUUACAUCAUUUUUGAAGGGAUUGAAUAAAAAAAAUUUCAUCUUUGGCAGCCAAAGUGCAAGUUUACGGCCAUAUAUUUACUUAUAACCCCAUCA
rnacentral:lncRNA from 1 species